UACGUAGGGCGCAAGCGUUGUUCGGAUUUACUGGGCGUAAAGGGCGCGUAGGCGGUCAGCACAAGUCAGUUGUGAAAUCUCCGGGCUUAACUCGGAAAGGUCAACUGAUACUGUGCGACUAGAGUGCGGAAGGGGCAACUGGAAUUCUCGGUGUAGCGGUGAAAUGCGUAGAUAUCGAGAGGAACACCUGCGGCGAAGGCGGGUUGCUGGGCCGACACUGACGCUGAUGCGCGAAAGCCAGGGGAGCGAACGGG
rnacentral:rRNA from 1 species